CCUACGGGAGGCAGCAGUGAGGAAUAUUGCGCAAUGGGCGACAGCCUGACGCAGCAACGCCGCGUGAGGGACGAAGGCCUUCGGGUCGUAAACCUCUUUUCUGAGGGACGAGAUCAGGACGGUACCUCAGGAAUAAGUCUCGGCUAACUACGUGCCAGCAGCCGCGGUAAAACGUAGGAGGCGAGCGUUAUCCGGAUUUACUGGGCGUAAAGCGCACGCAGGUGGCACGGCAGGUCGGUUGUGAAAGCUCCUGGCUUAACUGGGAGAGGCCAAGCGAAACUGCCGAGCUUGAGGUUGGAAGAGGGGUGCGGAAUUCCCGGUGUAGCGGUGGAAUGCGUAGAUAUCGGGAGGAACACCAGUGGCGAAGGCGGCACCCUGGUCCACACCUGACGCUGAGGUGCGAAAGCGUGGGGAGUAAACAGGAUUAGAUACCCUGGUAAUCCACGCCGUAAACGAUGUCAACUGGGUGUCGGUAGUGUUACACUAUCGGUGCCGAAGCCAACGCGUUAAGUUGACCGCCUGGGGACUACGGCCGCAAGGCUAAAACUCAAAGGAAUUGACGA
rnacentral:rRNA from 1 species